rnacentral:rRNA from 1 species
GACGUAGGGCGCGAGCGUUGUCCGGAUUUAUUGGGCGUAAAGAGCUCGUAGGCGGCUCAUUGCGUCAACCGUGAAAACCUGCCGCUCAACGGUAGGCUUGCGGUUGAUACGGGUGGGCUGGAGUUCGGUAGGGGAGACUGGAAUUCCUGGUGUAGCGGUGAAAUGCGCAGAUAUCAGGAGGAACACCGGUGGCGAAGGCAGGUCUCUGGGCCACUACUGACGCUGAGAAGCGAAAGCAUGGGGAGCGAACAGG